GUGGGGUUUAACGAGCCAAAGCCAUCAUGCACCUUCUGAUUAUGAGGCAUGCCGUAGUGGGAGAUUCCUGAAAUUCGUACCAGCUGGAUUCUUUACCAUACACGUACCAGUGACAAAACGAACAAGCCUGACAAUGUCUGCUUGUAGGAUUGUGACUUUCGCCUUCCUAGUUGUUCUAGCCUUCAACAUGGACAACAUCUGCGCUAAACCAGAGAAACCCGGCAGUCACGGCGAAAUGCUGUAUUGUGGCGGCAGGUGCUUCAUUAAGAGCGAUCUCUCCUCGACUCCCUGCCCAGCUGGUUGCCGUUGCGUUAGCCUCCAAUUUAAGCAUGGGGAAUAUACUGGAGAAGGAAAUUGCUUUCGAGAAAGUUGGACCAAAUAGGUGCAAUACGCCAGUUUUAACGGCUUUAAAACAAGUGCUCUUUUUUGCUUCGGAAAUGGGCGGGGUUCGUAAUUUCAUCAUAGCUUCGACAAGUUCUAACACAUGAAACCUGACUUCAACCUGGCAGUUGUAUCGCCCUCCUUUCCACCACGAAAAAAGUGAAAUUGAGCACCGGAAGCCACCUCUGCAGCACGAACAAACCGAUGCACCCGAACACACGCAUGCUGGGACAUACAUGCGCUCCCGCUUAAGCACACAAACAAAAGGAAAAGAAAUAUAUGUUUCACCUAGACGCACUAGAUCUUUCAAGAAUUUCACCCUGCACACUUAUCCACAGCGGUAAAGCAUUCGUUUAAGGAUGACGGGAGUCACACACGCAAAUGCGAAGGAAGUCAGGGGAGUGCUCAACGCAGCGUGGUUUCUUAAAAACGCGCAUAGAACUCGACCUUAGCUCAAACUAACAUAAGUAUUUUGGGGAACGAGCCUACUGCUAGACAAUAACGUCUUCGAAUCACAGCGUUCUUUUGCUUGUAGUACUCUCUGUUAAGGCGGAAACUGUUAAAACAUUAAAUUAUGGGGUUUUACGUGCCAAAACCACGAUUUGAUUCUGAGCGACGCCGUAGUGGGGGACUCCGGAAAGGUGCAUGACGUGGGGUUCUUUAACGUAAAGCUAAAUAAGUACACGGGUGUUUUCACAUUUCGCCCCCAUCGAAAUACGGCCGUCGUGGCCGGGAUUCAAUCCCGCGACCUCGUGCUUAGCGGCCGAAGACCACAGCCACUAAGCAACUACGGUGGGUUUACGGAAGACUUGAGUGGCUCGUUGCAAUGGGUCAUAGCCGAAAAAAGCGGAGUCUAGUCAAGUGAUGCAAAAAAUAUGAUGCAAAAAUAUCAUCAUAAGGAAUGGCUCAGAGGCCCAGAGAUGCAAUGGCUGAAUAUGAAUGAAGAAACGAAAGAAGGAAUGACAGCAAGAACAAAUGAGAGAACAAAGAAACAAAGAACGAAAAAAAGAGAAAAAGGAAGGAAUAGAAGAAAGAACCAAAGAAAGAAAUACGGAGAAAAAGAAAGAACGAACGAAAGAAGCUUUAGGUAGUGCAUUAGGUGCUCGCACAUGCCGUUGAGGAGAUCGACCUACAGCGCCAUACGUUUACUUCGCGCUAGGGCUUCUUAUGUCUUGAGGGAAGUCGGACCCCUCCUAUCGCUUGAGAGAUAACCACGUGUGUAGCCGGCUUUCGUCUUCACGUGUUACAGGAGUGUAACACGCGACCGCAAUUUCGAACUUCGGGCUAUGAGCGAACAGUCAAAAAAACAAUCACCAACGAUUACUAUACUCCCUAAUGCGAAUUUGAAGCGCUGCCAUUUAUGAGUAUUCAAUUAGUGGUUUUCAAAGAAUGAAUGACAUGAGUCCUGUUUGCGGUCGCGCUGAGUAUCUGCUCGGGUAGCUCGUUUAGAAACAGCUGCAGACGAAGAAUUUCCGCCAGUUGCCCCACUUAUUGUUGAGAAAGAAAGCGUGAACACCGGAACCGCGUGGCUCGCGCCGAGCUCACUCUCCAGCGACGACGACGCGCGCGAAGUAGCGCAUGCGCUGUGGGUCCCCAGCCCCCGCAAGCGCAUUGUUUCCAUAUACGGCGCAGGUGGACGCGCUCGCCAUAUGCCUGCUUCCCACCGUGGAGCACGUCUCCUGCAGCACCUCCUUUCGCCAUACUCUCCGCCUCCGCUUUCCCACUCGUGCUAUUUUCGUUCUCACCGUCUUGGAUCCCCCACUGCGAACGGCGCUCGCGCUUUCGUCCUUCACUGCGCUUGUUUGCUCCGUUAUGCCGAGGACGC